rnacentral:rRNA from 1 species
UACGUAGGGGGCAAGCGUUGUCCGGAUUUAUUGGGCGUAAAGAGCUCGUAGGCGGUCUGUUGCGUCUGCUGUGAAAACCCGGGGCUCAACCCCGGGCCUGCAGUCGAUACGGGCAGACUAGAGUGCGGUAGGGGAGACUGGAAUUCCUGGUGUAGCGGUGAAAUGCGCAGAUAUCAGGAGGAACACCGGUGGCGAAGGCGGGUCUCUGGGCCGUAACUGACGCUGAGGAGCGAAAGCGUGGGGAGCGAACAGG